rnacentral:misc_RNA from 1 species
GGUGGGUGGAAUUAUCCUCCUGAGCUGUAUCAAUUGAGUCCAGAUAUGAUAUGCCAUAUUUUUGUCCGUGAGUUAAUCCAGGACAAAUCCCCUUCAUCAACCCUGAUGUAGCACUUGACUCAAAAGAAGUGGAACCUAAUGGAUAUCCAGUAUGAACUUGACCUCCAUAAAAUGUACUAGAAUUGGUUUCUUGGGGAUUCAUUGAGAUAUCUGAUUUAAGAGAUUCCCGUUCAAUGUCACUACUUUUACAGUAAGCACCAAAAUAUGAGCAAUGUUCCCCUACAAUAGAUAUUUGGGGGGUUGCAGGCAGCAGGNCGUGAAGAUGUACUUGUAUGGCCCAUUUUCUACAAGGUUAUCUGGACCCGAAGCCAAAUCAAAAAGAAGCCAUAGAUACUUGACUGUUUCAGCAAGGAAAAAGCUCUCCAUGUGAUCUUCUUUCUUGUGAGACUCCACAUCUGUUAUGUGACAAU